GGAGGCGGGCGAGGGGGAAGGGCGGGCGGCGGCCCAAGGGUGCCCGGGUAGCGGUCGCAGUCCGCGUUCAACUCGGAGUACCUCUGCAGCGCCGUCCUCCUUCUCGGAGACCCGCGCCCCUUCUUUGAUAGAAAGGCCGCCCCAUCCCAAGAGUACAAACAUAUUUUCCUCUGGUAUCUUCUGCAGUUGUUAUUUGGUGUGGGCAUGGGUGGGUGUCAUUUUUUGGAAAGUUUUUCCCCAUCUCAAGAUUAUUAAAACCUUAACCUUUACUUUUUUCUAAUGUUUUUAAAGGAUUUUUAAAAUGUCUUUUUUACAUUUGUACUUAUGUUGGAUAUUAAUUUGUUGUCAGGUGUUGGAUAGAAAUGAGCCUUUUUCCCAGUUGUCCUGCCAUUAUCUAUUGAAUCAUUUUCCCACUGAAUUGAAAUGACACUUCUGUUACAUUCUGCAGGCGUGUAUAUACUCGGAAAUGUUUCCAGACAGUUUCUUGCACUGCUCUGACAGUUUUUGCACUGUGUUUUAAUGUUAAGUAUGUUUUAAUAUGUGGCAGAGCAAACGCCCCCUAAUUAUGUCCUCUGACAGUAAUGAUCUAUUUCUUUUGACGUAUUUGGAAUUGUUAAAAAUGUAAAGGUCCAAAAAUUAUAAUUCUCUAAGAGAAAGAAUUGAUCGUGGCACUUAGCGGUGCUCAAUAGAUAGUUAUUAAACGAGGGAAUGUUUGUUGAAAGUCACUGUGCUGUUGAAAAUGUUUACGUUUCCUUGUUGCCAUCAGGAUAAUCUAGUUUCUUAGAAGUGCCUUCAAAGCCCUUUAUGAUCUUAAUAUUGCAUAAUAUUUUGCCAUCCACUCUUGCACAUCGUGCUAUAGCCAUACCAAACUGUUUAAACAUGACACUAAACCCUCUGGGAAAAAUUCAUUCAUUUGAUUAUGUCAAAAAUUUAAAUUUCUGUAUUCAGAAAGAACAAAGGGCUAAAAACAAGAGACAUGAAAAAAUGUGCAACAUGUGUAGGAGACAAAGGAUUAAUGUCCAUAAUAUGUAAAGAAUCUCUGUAAAUAGCAAAAAAAAAAAAAAAAAAAAAAAAAAAGAAAGAAAAGAAAAAAGAAAGAAAGAAACAACAGAAGGAAAAAGGGAAAAUGGUCAAAGGAUAUGCACAGGCAAUUUAUAGAAUACAGGUAACCAAAAAACAAAACAAAACAAAAUUUCUAAUGCUUAACCUCAUAAGUAACCCUAGAAUGCAAAUGAAGACAAAGAUAUUUUUCACAAAAUAGAAGGGAAAAAUAUAAAAAUAUUGAUGAUAAAAGGUGUGAGGGAAAUGCCCAGAAGAAGGACCCAGUUGUAAAAUUGAGGAAGACACUUUGGAUGGCAGUGUGACAGUACCUACCAAAAUGUUAAAUGAGCUCACCUGGCUCAGAAAUUUCAUUCUGGAAUCAGUCCUGCAGAAAUAGUUGCACAGGUACACAAUGUGUAAAAAAGUGUGUAAAAAGAAGUUUUAUUUCCAUAUUAUUUGUAAUUGUGAGAAAUAAGUACGCUUAAAUGUUCACUAGGGAUAUGCUUAAAUCUAUUAUGAUAGAUCCAUACAAUGGAAUACUGUGCUGCCAUAAAAUAGAAUAAGGUAGUUUAUUUUGAAGUUAACAAACAAGGAACAAUUUAGUGAAUAAAGACAUUUAGUGAAUAAAGGAUGCUAGAGAACAAUGGCACGUAGUGUAGUGUGCAUCAUAUUAAGUACGGAUGUGGUUAUAUAUGUUCAUAAAUGCACAGAAAAGGAUGUACACCAAAUGACUGACAAUGAUUUAUUUCAGAGAGGGAAAUCGAAUAGAGAAGAGGGAUUGAAAGUCACUCACAUCUUACUCAGUAUAUUCCCAUGUUUUGAAUACUUAUGGUUUCAUGUAGAAUGUGUAAAAAAAAUUAAAACAUAUAUUACAUGUGUAAGGAAAAAACACUUGAUCUUAGCCGAAAGACCGAGAAGCUAUUUCUUGUGUAAGGAAAAAACAAAACAAAAGCCUCACAUGAACUUAAGAUCUACACAGGGGGGAAAGUGUUUUAUGAUGCAGAAAAUUUUUAAAUUAACUUUUUUUUAAAGCAGCAAAGAAUAAAAGACAAAUGAUAACAAGAAGACUACAUUUGUUAUUUAUGUUAUACCAAGGGAGUUGCUGUUUACUGUCUGUGUUCAGGGAUCCCCAAGACUACCCUUAGGUUCAAUGAUUUGCUAAAAUGACUCACAGAACUCAACAAAACUGUUAUACUUACAGUAGCAUAAGUAUUACAGUGAAAUGAUACACAUUAAAAUCAGCAACAAAAAAUGCAAGUAGAGUCCAGAAGAGACCAGGUACAAGCUUCCAGUUGUCUUCUAUCAAUAAGAGUCAUGCAGCUAGCAUUUACAUCCUCCCAGAAGUGACAUGUAAUAACAUGUAUGCAGUAUUGCCAACCAGGAAAUCUCCUCCAAACCUUGGCAUCCAGAAUAUUUAUCGGAAGUUGUUCAUGUAGGCAUAGCUGACCACCUGUGCUGCUGACCUUCAGUCUCCAGUCUCUCCAGAAGGCAAGCUGAUACCACAUGGCCCAAGGAUCCCACCAUAAAUCCUCUUUUGGCAUGAACUUUCUGACCUGUCCCAAGGCUUCAGUUAUGCCCUCUCAGAAUGUUAUACUUUCCCAAAGAGGGAACAUGGAAGAGAAGGAAAUGAAUGAUGAAUCACAGAUAGUCAGGUCUCAGGAAUCACUGACGUUCCAGGAUGUGGCUGUGGACUUCACACGAGAGGAGUGGGACCAGCUCUACCCUGCUCAGAAGAAUCUUUACCGAGAUGUGAUGCUGGAGAACUACAGGAAUCUGGUCGCACUGGGGCAUCAACUUUAUAAGCCAGAGGUGAUCUCUCAGUUGGAGCAGGAGGAGCAAUGGAUGAUGGAAAGAGGCAGCUCAGGGGACAUUCGUGCAGGUGGAGAGAAUAGACCUGAUAUCAGAAAAUCAAUUCCAAACCAGAAUAUUUCUGAUGAAAAUCAAAACCAUGACAUGAUAAUGGAGAGACUAACAGGAGACAGUUUCUGGUACUCCAUCUUAGGAGGACUCUGGGAUUUUGAUUACCAAUUAGAGUUUAACCAAGAAAAUCAGCAGAGACAUUUAGCACAAGUAUCUUUCACCCACAAAAAGAUCACACAGGAGAGAAGCCUUGACUGUAAUAGAUUUGGAGAAAACUAUAAUGUAAACUCAAACCUUAUUAUGCAUCAGAGAAUUCCUUCAAUUAAAAUACCCCUUAAUUCUGACGCACAAGGAAAUAGCAUCAAACAUAAUUCAGACUUGAUUUACUAUCAGGGAGACUAUGUAAGAAAGAAUCCUUAUGAAUAUAAUGAAUGUGGAAAAAUCUUCAAUCAACAUAUUCUUCUUACUAAUCAUAUUCAUACCGAAGAGAAACCCAGUGAAUGUGGGAAAGCCUUCAGCCACAACUCAUCUCUUACUCAACCUCAGAUAGUCCUUACAGGAGAGAAGCCCUAUAAGUGUGAUGAAUGUGGGAAAAGAUUCAGCCAGAGGAUUCAUCUUAUUCAACAUCAGCGAAUUCACACAGGAGAAAAACCUUUUAUAUGCAAUGAAUGUGGGAAAGCCUUCCGUCAACAUUCAUCCUUUACUCAACAUCUGAGAAUUCAUACUGGAGAGAAGCCCUACAAAUGUAAUCAAUGUGGUAAAGCCUUUAGCCGUAUCACAUCCCUUACUGAACAUCAUAGACUUCAUACCGGAGAGAAACCUUAUGAAUGUAGUUUUUGUGGGAAAGCCUUCAGCCAGAGGACACAUCUUAAUCAGCAUGAGAGAACUCAUACAGGAGAGAAACCCUAUAAAUGUAAUGAAUGUGAGAAAGCCUUCAGCCAGAGUGCACAUCUUAAUCAACAUAGGAAGAUCCAUACUCGGGAGAAAUUGUGUGAAUAUAAUAAAUGUGAGAAAACCUUAAGUUCCAGUCCUUCUCUUACCCAGCAGCAUAUAACUCACAGGGGGGAAAUCAUAUGAAUAUAUAAAUAUAGGAAAACUUUUGGUCAGAUCUUUUCAUCCCCUUGAAUAUAAAAUUAUUCAUAGAGAAGAGAAAAUUUAUAAAUAAACUUUUAAUGCAUAGAAACCAAAUAAAUUUAGAUCUUAAAUUAGCAUAUUCCCAGAAGAGAUUAUAAAUAGUGAAAAUAAUUUAUUUUAUAAAUAAGGUAAUAUUGAGUCAUGUUCCAAAUAUGAUAUAAAACUUUUUUUAAUGAUCAGAAAUCUUAUAGGCAAUAAUCUGAAAUUAUUCUCUUGUAACUUUUAUGAUAUAAAGUUUUUAAAGUAUGUAAACAUUGAUUACUUAAAGCAGUGGUGUAGUAUAACCAGUCACAUAAACUUGAAAUAAACAUAAAAGCAAUAUUUCUCAAACCAGCCAUUUGUUUCCUUUACAGUUUUUACCAUAUUCAGUGUUUACUUAAUAUUUUUCCUUAAAGGGACUCAGAAUUUUUAGCAUUGCCUAGGAAAUAUUAUUUGCAGAAAUUAUGAGUUUUAUAUGCCAAUUAUAUUUGUUCUAAAAUAAAUAAACAUAUUUAUUUAUCAAAAUACAUAUAUAACUUUGAAAUUAAAAAUAUCCACUUGAUGUACUACCUAAAUCUUCUGUACCUUUAUUUGAAAAACAAUGUGACAGGAUAUUGGCAGUGUUUGUUUUCAUUUCAGCGACUUUUGCGUUUUCAUCAAACAACUUAUAAGAUCAUUUUAAGAAGCAUGUUGGAGGAGACUAAGGGUCAUAGUGAUGAACUUUGAAAAUGAUUCAGAGAAGUCUACUUUUCUAUCCUGUUGCUCUAGUUUUAAAAUUCCCUCUAGCAAACAUAGGCUUUUUUAAUUAAAAUGGUUUUUUUUUGUGUGUUUGAAUACAGAGUUUUUUGUUGUUGUUUUGUUUUGUUUUUAUAUAAUGACCAGGGGCUAAGAAUCCCUACCCUUCCCUACACAACUGUGAAAGACAAGAAGUAGAAGACUAUACCAGAUGUUGAGCUGUGGUGCCAUGAUGAAGCUGAAAACCAGGGAAGAGCCUUACUGGCUUAUAUAAAUAACUAAGGAGGAUUUCUCACUGGAAAUGUCACUAGAACAUGGAUCAUCUACUCCUGAUUCAGUGGAUACCAACAGUGCCUGGAGCAGUAUUUUGUAACACUUUGAAAACAAUUGUUAAAUAUAUUAAAAUUAAUAAAGUGAAAGAUUGCUGCUCAACAUUAAAA